rnacentral:rRNA from 1 species
CUGGAGCUAAUACGUGCAUUAACAUCCUAUACCUUUGUGUUAGGAUGGCACUUAUUAGAUAAAGAACCAACCCAUGCUUGCAUGGACAACUGGUGAUCCAUAAUAAUCUCGUGAAUCGCAUUGCUACGGCAAGCGAUAGUUCACUUGAGU